UUCCCCCCUUCCCUGGCGAAUCCAGCUGCUUUGUUCUCUCUGCUGAGAGAGGACUUCUCAUUCUUCUCCAGCUGCAAGGCAUUAAGGGGACAGAGUUACAGGGAGGAAGCUUGCCUGUGCGUGGGGAAAAUGAGCUGCACUGGGUUUGGCAGAAUUUGGCAGCUGUUCCACAUCGGCCACUGUAAUAAGAAUUUCCAGUCAUAUACCUCUAAAAGGGAAACACAUGAGCCAUGGGAGUACCCUGCUGGGGGACAAACACGAGAUAUUACAAAGGUAUGACAGGUAAUGUCACUAUAUCUUUUAUUAUUAUUAUUAUUAUUAGUAGUAGUAGUAGUAAUAGUAGUAGU
rnacentral:lncRNA from 1 species